rnacentral:rRNA from 1 species
CGCCUGGGGAGUACGGGUGAGGUAACGGCUCACCAAGGCAUCGACGGGUGGCUGGUCUGAGAGGAUGAUCAGCCACACUGGGACUGAGACACGGCCCAGACUCCUACGGGAGGCAGCAGUAGGGAAUAUUGCACAAUGGGCGAAAGCCUGACGCAGCAACGCCGCGUGGGGGAUGAAUGCCUUCGGGUUGUAAACCCCUUUCAGCAGGGACGAAAAUGACGGUACCUGCAGAAGAAGCUCCGGCCAACUACGUGCCAGCAGCCGCGGUAAUACGUAGGGAGCGAGCGUUGUCCGGAAUUAUUGGGCGUAAAGAGCUCGUAGGCGGUUCAGUAAGUCGGGUGUGAAAACUCAAGGCUCAACCUUGAGACGCCACUCGAUACUGCUGUGACUUGAGUCCGGUAGAGGAGUGUGGAAUUCCUGGUGUAGCGGUGAAAUGCGCAGAUAUCAGGAGGAACACCAGCGGCGAAGGCGGCACUCUGGGCCGGUACUGACGCUGAGGAGCGAAAGCAUGGGGAGCAAACAGGAUUAGAUACCCUGGUAGUCCAUGCCGUAAACGUUGGGCACUAGGUAUGGGAUCAUAUCAACGGAUUCCGUGCCGUAGCUAACGCAUUAAGUGCCCCGCCUGGGGAGUACGG